rnacentral:rRNA from 1 species
CAGCAGUGGGGGAAUAUUGCACAAUGGGCGCAAGCCUGAUGCAGCCAUGCCGCGUGUGUGAAGAAGGACCUUCGGGUUGUAAAGCACUUUCAGCAGUGAGGAAGGCGGAGUCGUUAAUAGCGGCUCGUUUGACGUUAGCUGCAGAAGAAAGCACCGGCUAACUCCGUGCCAGCAGCCGCGGUAAUACGGAGGGUGCGAGCGUUAAUCGGAAUUACUGGGCGUAAAGCGCAUGCAGGUGGUUCGUUAAGUCAGAUGUGAAAGACCCGGGGCUCAACCUCGGAAUUGCAUUUGAAACUGGCGGACUAGAGUACUGUAGAGGGGGGUAGGAAUUUCAGGUGUAGCGGUGAAAUGCGUAGAGAUCUGAAGGAAUACCGGUGGCGAAGGCGGCCCCCUGGACAGAUACUGACACUCAGAUGCGAAAGCGUGGGGAGCAAACAGGAUUAGAUACCCUGGUAG